rnacentral:lncRNA from 1 species
CAUCCAAGGUCUUAAAUUUCUAAUGCCAGCUGAAGGCCUGACUAGGAGGGAGAGGUCUGCAUUCCUUACUCUGUUUAUGCUCCCACCUAAUUGGCAGAUUUUAUCAGUUCCACGGGAUACCAGAGAAAACUGCAGUCAUCGAGGUCAUCCCAGCUACUCCGAGGAGAAGAAUCUGGUUCUUCACAGAAAUCGGGAAGAGGCCGAGAGCUGGAGGUCAGUCUCUGGUUGCUGUCUUUCAUUCCAGCCUGAAUACAAUCUCUCGGGAAGAGGCUUGGGUACCCUGGCUUCUGCCUUCCAGACCACUGUCCCUCAGCACACACCCACGUGUACACACACCCCAUCUAGAGAACAAAGAACAGGGUGUGGAGUCCCUGCCUGCCCCACCUUCACAUUCCCACAGAGCCAGUCAGGAUUCCCUGCUGUGAGGAUGGAAGCCAGAAUCCCCUGCCAUCCAAGCAGGGAUGGGGCUGCCAUCAUCACCUCAGCAAUUCCCACGGUGCCAGGGGACAGGAUGGAAUCUCCGGGGCUUAGUGGCCACCGCUUCUCCCUCCCUCUGGAAAAGCUCAUCAGUUCAGGGGUUCUGCAGGCCUGCCAAUUUAGUAAAUAUUUGUUAGAGGAAGUGACUAACAUUUAUUUAUUGAGUAUCUACUCUAUUCAAUGUGCAAUACUACUACUACUAAUUACAAUUUCCAGGGUACUCACUAGGUCUAUGAACGGACUCUAAUAAAUAUCACAGUAGCUCUAGGUGUGGUGGUUAUUUUACGGACGAGAAAAGACACAUGGCUUAAGGACCUUGCUCAGGUUUUAUGAGAGGGUGAGUGACAAACCCAGGUCUGUUUCAUUCCAGAAUUGCCCAGCUGUAGGCAAGGAGCUGGGGAUAUUGUGAAGGAUGGUGGCCUGUAUAUAGCUCUCAUUCCAGGUGUGAUGGGUUGAAUUGUGUCCCCCAAAAAGGCAUGUUGAAGUCCUAAUCUCUUGCUCCCUGGGUGGUAAGUUGGUUGAACGUCUGACUUCAGCUCAGGUUAUGAUCCCAGGGUCCCAGGACCGAGCCCCGCACCAGGCUCCUUGCUCAGCAAGGAGUCUACUUCUCCCUCUCCCUCUGCCUCUCCCCUGCUCAUAUGUGAUUUCUUUCUCUCUCUCAAAUAAAAGGAUAAAAUCUUUAAAAAAAAAAAAAAAA